AUUCAGUUUUGUCACCCAAGAACCUAAGAAGAAAUCUGGAACACAAUAUGCCUGAUUUCACCGGAUGAUGGAAUUGGAAGAGACUCUAGAAUUCAAAUUUUCCAAAGCCUCUCACUAUACAGAAAACCCAACUUCUACGUUAAAAAUCCUGUGUGGCAGAAACGGAGGAGGACACAAAGGAAAAGACGACAAGUGUGAGGCUGUGACUCAGCUGAACCAGAAAGA